UUCCAGACUCCUACGGGAGGCAGCAGUGGGGGAUAUUGCACAAUGGGGGAAACCCUGAUGCAGCGACGCCGCGUGUGGGAAGACGGUCUUCUGGAUUGUAAACCACUGUCCCCAGGGACGAAAAUGACGGUACCUGGGGAGGAAGCUCCGGCUAACUACGUGCCAGCAGCCGCGGUAAUACGUAGGGAGCGAGCGUUGUCCGGAUUUACUGGGUGUAAAGGGUGCGUAGGCGGCCCUGCAAGUCAGAAGUGAAAUCCAUGGGCUUAACCCGUGAACUGCUUUUGAAACUGCAGGACUUGAGUGGAGUAGAGGUAGGCGGAAUUCCCGGUGUAGCGGUGAAAUGCGUAGAGAUCGGGAGGAACACCAGUGGCGAAGGCGGCCUACUGGGCUUUAACUGACGCUGAAGCACGAAAGCGUGGGUAGCAAACAGGAUUAGAUACCCUUGUA
rnacentral:rRNA from 1 species